CACGUAAUUCAUUACGAAGUUUAAUUCUUUGAGCAUCAAACUUAAAUUGAAGAGUUUGAUCAUGGCUCAGAUUGAACGCUGGCGGCAGGCCUAACACAUGCAAGUCGAGCGGUAGCACAGAGAGCUUGCUCUCGGGUGACGAGCGGCGGACGGGUGAGUAAUGUCUGGGAAACUGCCUGAUGGAGGGGGAUAACUACUGGAAACGGUAGCUAAUACCGCAUAACGUCGCAAGACCAAAGUGGGGGACCUUCGGGCCUCAUGCCAUCAGAUGUGCCCAGAUGGGAUUAGCUAGUAGGUGGGGUAACGGCUCACCUAGGCGACGAUCCCUAGCUGGUCUGAGAGGAUGACCAGCCACACUGGAACUGAGACACGGUCCAGACUCCUACGGGAGGCAGCAGUGGGGAAUAUUGCACAAUGGGCGCAAGCCUGAUGCAGCCAUGCCGCGUGUGUGAAGAAGGCCUUCGGGUUGUAAAGCACUUUCAGCGGGGAGGAAGGCGUUAAGGUUAAUAACCUUGNCGAUUGACGUUACCCGCAGAAGAAGCACCGGCUAACUCCGUGCCAGCAGCCGCGGUAAUACGGAGGGUGCAAGCGUUAAUCGGAAUUACUGGGCGUAAAGCGCACGCAGGCGGUCUGUCAAGUCGGAUGUGAAAUCCCCGGGCUCAACCUGGGAACUGCAUUCGAAACUGGCAGGCUAGAGUCUUGUAGAGGGGGGUAGAAUUCCAGGUGUAGCGGUGAAAUGCGUAGAGAUCUGGAGGAAUACCGGUGGCGAAGGCGGCCCCCUGGACAAAGACUGACGCUCAGGUGCGAAAGCGUGGGGAGCAAACAGGAUUAGAUACCCUGGUAGUCCACGCCGUAAACGAUGUCGAUUUGGAGGUUGUGCCCUUGAGGCGUGGCUUCCGGAGCUAACGCGUUAAAUCGACCGCCUGGGGAGUACGGCCGCAAGGUUAAAACUCAAAUGAAUUGACGGGGGCCCGCACAAGCGGUGGAGCAUGUGGUUUAAUUCGAUGCAACGCGAAGAACCUUACCUGGUCUUGACAUCCACAGAACUUUCCAGAGAUGGAUUGGUGCCUUCGGGAACUGUGAGACAGGUGCUGCAUGGCUGUCGUCAGCUCGUGUUGUGAAAUGUUGGGUUAAGUCCCGCAACGAGCGCAACCCUUAUCCUUUGUUGCCAGCGGUCCGGCCGGGAACUCAAAGGAGACUGCCAGUGAUAAACUGGAGGAAGGUGGGGAUGACGUCAAGUCAUCAUGGCCCUUACGACCAGGGCUACACACGUGCUACAAUGGCAUAUACAAAGAGAAGCGACCUCGCGAGAGCAAGCGGACCUCAUAAAGUAUGUCGUAGUCCGGAUUGGAGUCUGCAACUCGACUCCAUGAAGUCGGAAUCGCUAGUAAUCGUAGAUCAGAAUGCUACGGUGAAUACGUUCCCGGGCCUUGUACACACCGCCCGUCACACCAUGGGAGUGGGUUGCAAAAGAAGUAGGUAGCUUAACCUUCGGGAGGGCGCUUACCACUUUGUGAUUCAUGACUGGGGUGAAGUCGUAACAAGGUAACCGUAGGGGAACCUGCGGUUGGAUCACCUCCUUACCUUAAAGAACCUGCCUUUGUAGUGCUCACACAGAUUGUCUGAUGAAAAA
rnacentral:rRNA from 1 species